UGGGGAAUAUUGCACAAUGGACGGAAGUCUGAUGCAGCAACGCCGCGUGCGGGAUGACGGCCUUCGGGUUGUAAACCGCUUUUUCUCAUGACGAAGUUUUUUGACGGUAGUGGGGGAAGAAGCACCGGCUAACUACGUGCCAGCAGCCGCGGUGAUACGUAGGGUGCGAGCGUUGUCCGGAAUUAUUGGGCGUAAAGAGCUUGUAGGCGGUUUGUCGCGUCGAUAGUGCAAACUCAGUGCUUAACGCUGAGCCUGCUGUUGAUACGGGCAGACUAGAGGAAGGUAGGGGAGAAUGGAAUUCCCGGUGGAGCGGUGGAAGGCGCAGAUAUCGGGAGGAACACCGGUGGCGAAGGCGGUUCUCUGGGCCUUUCCUGACGCUGAGAAGCGAAAGCGUGGGGAGCGAACAGG
rnacentral:rRNA from 1 species